CCCUCCUGGACCAAUCGACUAUGGCCAGGAGAGUAGCAUGUAAGAAAACGGAGAUCACAACAGGUGGGGUGUGGGAAAGAAACAGUUCCCAGAAGAAGUGGGGAAGAUGAUGGGCAGACUGCCCCCCUUCAACAAAAAGUCCACUGACUCAUUUUACAGAUGUGGAAAUUCAGGCUCAGAGAAAUUAAGUGACUCGCUCAAGAUUACAACUUGUACUAAGCUCAGGUCGUCUGGCACCUGGUCAAAUGCGUGCCUCACUCCCCCACACUGCUGCUCGUUUUGUGGAAUCCUCGUUUCAAGCUCUUGGAGCAGGGCAGCUUAGGUCCAGGCUGGAGAAAUGCGGGUUUGGUAAUUCAGAAAGGUGGGCGGAAGUGGUGGCAAGAUGGUGGAAAGGCCCCUCACCCACAGCUGGUGCUGGAAAAGACCAAUCUGCCCGCUACCUUCCACCUGCAGAGACUCAGAGGAAGGAGCCAAGAGUCAGACAUUUCACAGAUGGGAACAAGUGCAAGAUGAUGACCAAGGAGAUGGCUCUCUAUGACUUUCAAAUACCGUAUGAUCAAAAUUUUGCUUAAUAAGUGUGUAUGGGGGUGCCCGCGUGGCUCAAUCGGUUAAGCAUGGGAUUCUUGACUUUGGGUCAGGUCAUGAUCUCAGGGU